AUUGAACGCUGGCGGCAUGCUUUACACAUGCAAGUCGAACGGCAGCGCGGGCUUCGGCCUGGCGGCGAGUGGCGAACGGGUGAGUAAUGCAUCGGAACGUGCCCAGUAGUGGGGGAUAGCCCGGCGAAAGCCGGAUUAAUACCGUAUACGACCUGAGGGUGAAAGCGGGGGACCGAAAGGCCUCGCGCUAUUGGAUCGGCCGAUGUCGGAUUAGCUAGUUGGUGGGGUAAAGGCUUACCAAGGCGACGAUCCGUAGCUGGUCUGAGAGGACGACCAGCCACACUGGGACUGAGACACGGCCCAGACUCCUACGGGAGGCAGCAGUGGGGAAUGUUGGACAAUGGGGGCAACCCUGAUCCAGCCAUGCCGCGUGCGGGAAGAAGGCCUUCGGGUUGUAAAACGCUUUUGUUCGGGAAGAAAGCCUCUGGGCUAAUACCCCGGGGGGAUGACGGUACCGGAAGAAUAAGCACCGGCUAACUACGUG
rnacentral:rRNA from 1 species